rnacentral:rRNA from 1 species
GCGGUGCUCCAUACCGACCUAGAGGAGCCUGUCCUAUAAUCGAUAAUCCGCGCUUCACCUUACCACUUCUUGCAACUCAGCCUAUAUACCGCCGUCGUCAGCCUACCCUAUGAAAGAAACAAAGUAAGCAAAAUAGUCAACAACUAAAACGUCAGGUCAAGGUGUAGCACAUGAAGUGGAAGAGAUGGGCUACACUUUCUACCACAGAAUACACGAACAGCACAGUGAAAUCUGUGCUCAAAGGCGGAUUUAGUAGUAAGAAAAACAAGAAACUUUUCCUGAAACCCGCUCUGGAGCGCGCACACACCGCCCGUCACCCUCAUCACAUUAACACCCGCUUAAAAUAUAACACCCACAUAAUAACAGAUGAGGAAAGUCGUAACAUGGUAAGCGCACCGGAAGGUGCGCUUGGAAUAACAAAUAGUAGCUUAACACAAAAGCAUUCAGCUUACAAUUGAAACAUGUUAGUGAAAUUCUAACCUUUUUGA